rnacentral:rRNA from 1 species
GACGUAGGGCGCGAGCGUUGUCCGGAUUUAUUGGGCGUAAAGAGCUCGUAGGCGGCUUGUCGCGUCUGCUGUGAAAUCCUAGGGCUUAACCCUGGGCUUGCAGUGGAUACGGGCAGACUAGAGGUAGGUAGGGGAGAAUGGAAUUCCUGGUGUAGCGGUGAAAUGCGCAGAUAUCAGGAGGAACACCGGUGGCGAAGGCGGUUCUCUGGGCCUUACCUGACACUGAGGAGCGAAAGCGUGGGGAGCGAACAGG